rnacentral:rRNA from 1 species
GUCUUCAUGAUAAUAUUUGAAGUCUCGCCUGCCCACUGAAUUUUAAAUGGCCGCAGUAUUUUAACUGUGCUAAGGUAGCAUAAUCAUUAGUUUCUUAAUUAGAAGCUUGUAUGAAGGGUUGGAUGAAGAAUUAACUGUUUCUUAAUUAUUUUUAGAACUUUAUUUUUAAGUUAAAAAGCUUAAAUUUCAUUUAGGGACGAGAAGACCCUAUAGAGUUUUAUAAAAUAUAAAUUAUUAUUUUUUUAGUAUUAAUAUUUUUAAUUAAUAUUUUAUUUGAUUGGGGAGAUUGAAUAACUUAAUAAACUUAUUUUUAACUAAAUCGUAGAUAAACGUAUUUUUGAUCCAAUUAAUUGAUUAUAAGAGUAAAUUACCUUAGGGAUAACAGCAUAAUUUUUCUUAGAGUUCUUAUCGAAAGGAGAGAUUGUGACCUCGAUGUUGGAUUAGAAUUUGUAACUGGUGUAGCUGUUAGUUUACUAAGUCUGUUCGACUUUUAAAAUUCUACA